rnacentral:sRNA from 1 species
UUUUUAGAAUAACAGAAAACAAAACAGAGUACAUCUUGACGAGAUUGAAAAAUGUUUAUACUAACAAGAAAAGAAAGAGAUUUUCGAAGAAGAAAUAUGGAGCAUGUGAAAAGUUUAGAAGGUAUGGCACAUAUUGUUUAGACAAAAUCAUAAGAGGAUGGAAAGAGACACUGUAAGAAAAAAUAAAACAAAUAAAAUAAGUUCUUGCAAAAAGAUAGGGAGAGUGAUAGCUCUCUGUAAAAAAAAUUAUGAAGACAGAAAUUCAUAUACAUAUUGAAAAGAAUGUGAGAAAAAUAUGAAAUGUUAAAAGAAAAUGUAGAUAAGCUUAUGAAUAUACGAUCUACAUAAUAUCUUAUUUUUAGAAGAGCUAUACUAACUAAUGCAGCGAAGAUAAACGAAAAACAAUAAUAAAUUUGCGGGUACCAAAAUGAGAAUCAUCGAAUCUAUUUCCCGUACAACAAUUUAUUUCAUAUGUACGUAAAAAAGACGUUGUUAUCCUAAAUAUCUAAAGCUAAGGAGAGAGUCAUGAACCAAAAAAAUCUUCUUUUGCUAAAUGUUGUAAAAUCUAAGAGUUGUAUAAAAGUUAUUUUUAAUUAUGUAUUUAAAUUGUAAAUAUUUGUCACGGUAAUUUUAAAAUUCAAAGAG